rnacentral:rRNA from 1 species
UACGGAGGGUGCAAGCGUUAAUCGGAUUUAUUGGGCGUAAAGCGCGCGCAGGCGGUUUCUUAAGUCUGAUGUGAAAGCCCACGGCUUAACCGUGGAAGGUCAUUGGAAACUGGGAGACUUGAGUGCAGAAGAGAAGAGCGGAAUUCCACGUGUAGCGGUGAAAUGCGUAGAGAUGUGGAGGAACACCAGUGGCGAAGGCGGCUCUUUGGUCUGUAACUGACGCUGAGGCGCGAAAGCGUGGGGAUCAAACAGG